UUUCCGUAGGUGAACCUGCGGAAGGAUCAUUAUUGUAUCACCGAGGUUCGAGGUCUGAAGCUGACCCGACCGGUCGUGCACGACCGAGUGCCCGCCCACGCAUCCAUCCCACACCUGUGGGCACCACCGCGUGGGUCCCUCCUUGGCUUGUUCGGAGGGCCGUAUACGUUUUACCCUCAUCUUUGUAUGCAGUGUUGCUUGUUUUUUUUGUUUUUGCGAUCACGCAAUAACUACAACUUUCAUCAACGGAUCUCUUGCCUCCAGCACCGAAGAAGAAUG
rnacentral:misc_RNA from 1 species